CGUUCCCUACGGGGCGCAGCAGUGAGGAAUAUUGGUCAAUGGUCGGGAGACUGAACCAGCCAAGCCGCGUGAGGGAGGAAGGUACAGAGUAUCGUAAACCUCUUUUGUCAGGGAACAAAGACUGGGACGCGUCCCCGGAUGAGUGUACCUGAAGAAAAAGCAUCGGCUAACUCCGUGCCAGCAGCCGCGGUAAUACGGAGGAUGCGAGCGUUAUCCGGAUUUAUUGGGUUUAAAGGGUGCGCAGGCGGUCUGUUAAGUCAGCGGUCAAAGCCCGGGGCUCAACCCCGGCCCGCCGUUGAAACUGG
rnacentral:rRNA from 1 species